GACGAACGCUGGCGGCGUGCUUAACACAUGCAAGUCGAACGGAAAGGCCCUGCUUUUGUGGGGUGCUCGAGUGGCGAACGGGUGAGUAACACGUGAGUAACCUGCCCUUGACUUUGGGAUAACUUCAGGAAACUGGGGCUAAUACCGGAUAGGAGCUCCUGCUGCAUGGUGGGGGUUGGAAAGUUUCGGCGGUUGGGGAUGGACUCGCGGCUUAUCAGCUUGUUGGUGGGGUAGUGGCUUACCAAGGCUUUGACGGGUAGCCGGCCUGAGAGGGUGACCGGCCACAUUGGGACGGAGAUACGGCCCAGACUCCUACGGGAGGCAGCAGUGGGGAAUAUUGCACAAUGGGCGGAAGCCUGAUGCAGCAACGCCGCGUGCGGGAUAACGGCCUUCGGGUUGUAAACCGCUUUCGCCUGUGACGAAGCGUGAGUGACGGUAAUGGGUAAAGAAGCACCGGCUAACUACGUG
rnacentral:rRNA from 1 species